CCUACGGGAGGCAGCAGUGAGGAAUAUUGGUCAAUGGGCGCGAGCCUGAACCAGCCAAGUAGCGUGAAGGAUGACUGCCCUACGGGUUGUAAACUUCUUUUAUAAAGGAAUAAAGUGAGGCACGUGUGCCUUGUUGGAUGUACUUUAUGAAUAAGGAUCGGCUAACUCCGUGCCAGCAGCCGCGGUAAUACGGAGGAUCCGAGCGUUAUCCGGAUUUAUUGGGUUUAAAGGGAGCGUAGAGGGGUUGUUAAGUCAGUGGUGAAAGUUUGCGGCUCAACCGUAAAAUUGCACUUGAUACUGGCAGUCUUUAGUACAGUUGAGGUCGGCGGCAUUCGUGGUGUCGCGGUUACAUGCUUAGCUCUCAC
rnacentral:rRNA from 1 species